GUGAACGCUGGCGGCGUGCUUAACACAUGCAAGUCGAACGGUAACAGGAAGUAGCUUGCUACUUUGCUGACGAGUGGCGCACGGGUGAGUAAUAUAUAGUUAAUGUGCCUCGAAGACUGGGAUAGCCACUGGAAACGGUGAUUAAUACUAGAUACACCUUUUUAACAUAAGUUAAAUCGGGAAAUGUCUUUUCGCUUCGAGAUCAGACUAUAUCCUAUCAGUUAGUUGGUGAGGUAAUGGCUCACCAAGGCAAUGACGGGUAGCGGUUCUGAGAGGAUGAUCCGCCACACUGGUACUGAGACACGGACCAGACUCCUACGGGAGGCUGCAGUCAAGAACCUUUCUCAAUGGGCGAAAGCCUGAAGAAGCGACGCCGCGUGGAUGAAGAAGCCCUUCGGGGUGUAAAAUCCUUUUAUAGGGGAACAAUUUUUGAGCGUACUCUAUGAAUAAGGACCUGCUAAACUCGU
rnacentral:rRNA from 1 species